GGGUGCAUGGCCUAAUGGUAAGGCGUCAGAUUUCGGUUCUUAUCUAUGACCAACUCUGAAGAUUGCAGGUUCGAUCCCUGCUGUGCUCG